rnacentral:rRNA from 1 species
GACGAACGCUGGCGGCGUGCUUAACACAUGCAAGUCGAACGGAAAGGCCCUGCUUUUGUGGGGUGCUCGAGUGGCGAACGGGUGAGUAACACGUGUGUAACCUGCCCUAGACUUUGGGAUAACUUCAGGAAACUGGGGCUAAUACCGGAUAGGAGCUCCUGCUGCAUGGAGGGGGUUGGAAAGUUUCGGCGGUUGGGGAUGGACUCGCGGCUUAUCAGCUUGUUGGUGGGGUAGUGGCUUACCAAGGCUUUGACGGGUAGCCGGCCUGAGAGGGUGACCGGCCACAUUGGGACUGAGAUACGGCCCAGAGUCCUACGGGAGGCAGCAGGGGGGAAUAUGGCACAAUGGGCGGAAGCCUGAGGCAGCGACGCCGCGUUCGGGAUGACGGCCUUCUGGUUGUAAACCGCUUUCGCCUGUGACGAAGCGUGAGUGACGGUAAUGGAUAAAGAAGCACCGGCUAACUACGUG